rnacentral:rRNA from 1 species
UACAGAGGCCUCAAGCGUUGUUCGGAUUCAUUGGGCGUAAAGGGUGCGUAGGCGGCGCGGUAAGUCGGGUGUGAAAUCUCGGAGCUUAACUCCGAAACUGCAUUCGAUACUGCCGUGCUUGAGGACUGGAGAGGAGACUGGAAUUUACGGUGUAGCGGUGAAAUGCGUAGAUAUCGUAAGGAAGACCAGUGGCGAAGGCGGGUCUCUGGACAGUUCCUGACACUGAGACACGAAGGCCAGGGGAGCAAACGGG